rnacentral:rRNA from 1 species
AUUGAACGCUGGCGGCAGGCUUAACACAUGCAAGUCGAGCGGGGGAAGGUAGCUUGCUACCGGACCUAGCGGCGGACGGGUGAGUAAUGCUUAGGAAUCUGCCUAUUAGUGGGGGACAACAUCUCGAAAGGGAUGCUAAUACCGCAUACGUCCUACGAGAGAAAGCAGGGGAUCUUCGGACCUUGCGCUAAUAGAUGAGCCUAAGUCGGAUUAGCUAGUUGGUGGGGUAAAGGCCUACCAAGGCGACGAUCUGUAGCGAGUCUGAGAGGAUGAUCCGCCACACUGGGACUGAGACACGGCCCAGACUCCUACGGGAGGCAGCAGUGGGGAAUAUUGGACAAUGGGGGGAACCCUGAUCCAGCCAUGCCGCGUGUGUGAAGAAGGCCUUAUGGUUGUAAAGCACUUUAAGCGAGGAGGAGGCUACUCUAGUUAAUACCUAGGGAUAGUGGACGUUACUCGCAGAAUAAGCACCGGCUAACUCUGUGCCAGCCGCCGCGGUAA